GGUGACUUAGUGGUAGAGUGCUUGCCUUGCAUGCAUGGAGCCCUGGGUACGAUUCCUUGGCACCA
rnacentral:tRNA from 1 species